UACGGAGGGGGCUAGCGUUGUCCGGAAUUACUGGGCGUAAAGCGCACGUAGGCGGCUUUGUAAGUUAGAGGUGAAAGCCCGGGGCUCAACCCCGGAAUUGCCUUUAAGACUGCAUCGCUAGAAUUGUGGAGAGGUAAGUGGAAUUCCGAGUGUAGAGGUGAAAUUCGUAGAUAUUCGGAAGAACACCAGUGGCGAAGGCGACUUACUGGACACAUAUUGACGCUGAGGUGCGAAAGCGUGGGGAGCAAACAGG
rnacentral:rRNA from 1 species